rnacentral:rRNA from 1 species
GNAGGCGUGCACUUCUCCCCUUGUAGGUCGUCGUGNCCCAUUGGAUUAUGUUGUCUAAGGCUUAUAAUGGAGNCCGUGGCAUUAAGUUUCGGCUUUAAUNACCCGGACUUAUAAUGUCCCGACAUCUAUCCGAUGGUAUAAUUAUGAUGAUAGAUCGCUAUAAAUGUGAUAUGAGCGUUCAGAUCCAUAACAAAUUCUUAUUAUGAAAUAGUGGAAAUCGGAUUUAAUGCCGAUUCUACACAUAUGGUAUUGUUAGUUGUGGUAUUCUCGAACCGUUCUUUAUCAUCAGUCAACGGCGUUUAUGUUUUGGGUAAUUACAGGACCCGUCUUGAAACACGGACCAAGGAGUCUAGCAUGUGCGCAAGUCAUUGGGACUUUGUGAAACCUAAAGGCGUAAUGAAAGUGAAAUAUUUGUGAAUUUUCGUAAUUCUCUGAAUUUAAGGGAAGAUGGGUAACGUUUUUUAUGUUACCUCGCAUUCCCGGGGCGUCGCGUACUUAUUGCAAGUUGCGGCGCACCAAGAGCGUNCACGCUGGGACCCGAAAGAUGGUNAACUAUGCCUGGUCAGGAUGAAGUCAGGGGAAACCCUGAUGGAGGUCCGUAGCGAUUCUGACGUGCAAAUCGAUCGUAUGAA